UACGUAGGGUCCGAGCGUUGUCCGGAAUUAUUGGGCGUAAAGGGCUCGUAGGCGGUUUGUCGCGUCGGGAGUGAAAACUCAGGGCUCAACCCUGAGCGUGCUUUCGAUACGGGCAGACUGGAGGUAUGCAGGGGAGAACGGAAUUCCUGGUGUAGCGGUGAAAUGCGCAGAUAUCAGGAGGAACACCGGUGGCGAAGGCGGGGUCUCUGGGCCGAAAUUGACGCUGAGGAGCGAAAGCGUGGGGAGCAAACAGG
rnacentral:rRNA from 1 species